GACGAACGCUGGCGGCGUGCUUAACACAUGCAAGUCGAGCGGACCUUCUCUUUCGGGGGUUGGUUAGCGGCGAACGGGUGAGUAACACGUGAGCAACCUGCCUUUGGCUUCGGGAUAAGCCCGGGAAACCGGGUCUAAUACCGGAUAUGACCCUCUGUCGCAUGGUGGGGGGUGGAAAGAUUUAUCGGCCAGAGAUGGGCUCGCGGCCUAUCAGCUUGUUGGUGGGGUUGUGGCCUACCAAGGCGACGACGGGUAGCCGGCCUGAGAGGGUGUCCGGCCACACUGGGACUGAGACACGGCCAGACUCCUACGGGAGGCAGCAGUGGGGAAUCUUGCGCAAUGGGCGGAAGCCUGACGCAGCGACGCCGCGUGGGGGAUGACGGCCUC
rnacentral:rRNA from 1 species